UCUCUCUCUCUCUCUCUCUCUCACACACACACACAGAGAGAGAGAGAGAAAGAGAGAGA
rnacentral:miRNA from 1 species